rnacentral:snRNA from 1 species
GGUAGUAGCAAAUAUUCAAAU